GCCGAAGUGGCGGAACUGGUAGACGCGCACGACUCAAAAUCGUGUGGACGCAAGUCCAUGAGAGUUCGAUUCUCUCCUUCGGCACAA
rnacentral:tRNA from 1 species